UACGUAGGGUGCAAGCGUUAAUCGGAAUGACUGGGCGUAAAGGGCGCGUAGGCGGCGCAGUUAGUCAGGCGUGAAAUUCCUGGGCUCAACCUGGGGACUGCGCUUGAUACGGCUGUGCUUGAGGAUGGAAGAGGCUCGCGGAAUUCCCAGUGUAGAGGUGAAAUUCGUAGAUAUUGGGAAGAACACCGGUGGCGAAGGCGGCGAGCUGGUCCAUUACUGACGCUGAGGCGCGACAGCGUGGGGAGCAAACAGG
rnacentral:rRNA from 1 species